UUGUGCGUAUGACUGGUCUAACUUUUAGUGGAAACUAACAUAAAGCUGUUCUUUUUUUUAAUACUAAUUGCGUUGGAUUCCGCACCAACAAGAAAUUUUUAUUUCAAUUGUAUUAAUCAAUGAGUUGUAAUCUUAAGAAAAAAUUAUCGCUACACUAUUCGUUGGGUACUACUUUUGACUUCCCUAAAUCAUCAAUUGUCAGGAUGAAUGAAGAUACAAAUCAAAAUGUAUA